rnacentral:SRP_RNA from 1 species
GGGUAAGUCUUACACGACCAGCUCCCCACGAAUCCCCCAGGGCCGGAAGGCAGCAAGGGUAGUGGGUCGUAGCGGUGCGAUGUAACAAGCUUACCCCUU